GCAUAAUUUCUUAAAGAUUAGAUAUUAAAAAUAGCUUAAAGUAGUUAAGUAGGGCCAAAAUGCAGAUGCUAAUUCAGUACGGCCAAAAUUAGUGUACAUGCGCGCAGAUUUGGUCGUAUUACACGCGUAUUGAGCCCGUCAGAUUUUUUUUUUAGCGAGCGCGCGCAUAAUUUGUUGUACGCGCCAAUCCUUCUCUGUACACGCGCCAAAAUUUCCCCUAUACACGCGCCAAGGGUUUCCCCCAAAUCCCCCCACCGCUGUACACUUCCCCCAAAUCCCACCGCUGUGCCGAGAGCGCCGCCACACUGACCCAAACCAGCGGCGGCGCAGCUCAUCCAUCGUCCUGCUGCCGGUGCCCUGCUCAAGCCAUCGCCACUGCAGUAGGGCGCCGCUGCCGCCGUUGCAGACUUGACCUCUCGCGGCUGCCGCCGCCGCGGCCGUCGGCGGCGGCGGGGGCCUUGACGGACCUGCCUCCCUCGACAGCUUCGGACGGAGGAGGCGGAGGGCUCCGUCGCCGCGACCCUCGCCCGACCUUGCCACCCUGGACGGAUUCUACCCUGCCUCCUCGACCAAGACCAACCCGCCUCAGCUGUAGACGCGUGCUUCAAGUUCAGAAAUCAGAACCAAGGUUCAGUUAGGUUUUUGGUCCUUUGACGCCUGCACUCUGCUGCCAGUUUUUCCAGUUAUUCAACCAUGUCUCUAGAAGAACAGCGUAGUUGGAUGUAUAGUGGGUGGAAUGAACAGGGGCACCAUUCUGAAGAAUGGGUGCGCAACACAACAGCUUUUCUUGACCAUGCUUUUCAGAUUAUGCCUAAUGCUGACCGGUUUGGUGUGAAGUGCCCAUGCACAAAGUGUCGUAAUGGAGUCAGGCGGAAGAAACAACUAGUCAGAGUGCACCUUUGUCAGUAUGGUUUCAUGCCAAAUUACACCAGAUGGACAUCGCACGGCGAGCGUCCAAUAGUUGGUACAACCAGAAUGGAAGAGGAUACUCACACUAGUAAUGAACCGCUAGUUGAUAUGCUGGCUGACAUUAUUGGGGCUGAAACACAUUUUGAUGAUGUGGAGAGCGAGCCAACAGCAUAUGCCAAGGAGUUCUACAAGAUGUUGUCUACUGCAGAGGAGGUUACUCAUGAUCACACUCAAGUCUCUCGCCUAGCUGCUGUCACACGUCUAAUGGGAAUAAAAUCACAACAUAAUUUACCAGCAGAUUGUGUGAAUAGCAUCCUAGGCCUACUUGGGGACGUGUUGCCAAAGGGGCAUAAAAUGCCUUCAAGCUUUUAUGAGUGCAAGAAUAGGUUGGGUGUCCUUAAGAUGCCAUAUGUGAAGAUUGACGUGUGCACCAAUAAUUGCAUGUUAUACUACAAGCAAGAUGAGAAGAAAGAGAAGUGUGAUAUUUGCGGAGAAAGUUGGUAUGAAGUUGUUGAGGGGGAAAGCUCAGAAAUAAAACAUAGCCGCAUACCUCGCAAAGUGAUGCAUUACCUUCCUAUCACAGCAAGGUUGCAGAGGAUGUAUAUGUCGGCUGAGCUUGCGAAGCACAUGCGGUGGCACAAAGAAGGAGAACGCUCAGACCCAGCAGGAACAAUUGGCCACCCAUCUGAAGCUGAAGCUUGGAAGGACUUUGAUAGGGAGUUUCCAGAGUUUGCAAAAGAUGCAAGAAAUGUGAGGCUUGUAAUAGCUACUGAUGGUUUCAAUCCUUUUAAGUUUGGAGGAUCACAAUAUUCAUGCUGGCCGGUGUUUGUAAGUCCGUUGAACCUCCCACCCGCACUGUGUAUGAGUGAGGAGAAUAUUUUCCUUACUAUGGUAAUCCCUGGUCCACAGCAUCCGGGUAAGAAUAUCAAUGUAUCCAUGCGUCCUCUUGUUGACGAACUGUUGCAGUUAUGGGCUGGUGUAGAUACUUAUGACAGUGUAACAAAGGAACCAUUCUGUAUGAAGGCUGCUUACCUUUUCUCAGUGCAUGACUAUCCUGCUUAUGGCAUGUUUGCUGGAUGGUGUACACAUGGCGGGAUGGCUUGUGCAGUAUGCAUGGAUGAUGUCGAUACAACAUGGUUACCUAAUGGACAUAAGUAUAGUUGGUUUGACUGUCAUCGUCGUUUUCUGCCUCCUGAUCACCCUUUCCGAAUGCAAGAAAAUGCAUUUAUAAAGCGAACUAAGGUGCUUGAGCCACCACCUCGUCGGUUAACCGGAGAGGAGGUAGAUGCAAGAAUUAACCACUUGAAGUCGCAGUCAUUUGAAGGAUAUGGAACAACACACAACUGGACACAUAUUCCUGUCUUGUGGGAACUGCCAUACUUCAAGAAACUUCUGAUAAGGCAUAACAUUGAUGUCAUGCACAAUGAAAAAAAUGUUGCUGAAGCAAUUUGGAACACAGUUCUUGACAACGAGAAGACAAAGGACAACACCAAAGCUCGUCUCGACCAAGCAUUGUUGUGUAAAAGAAAAAGGCUAAACCUUGUCCCAAAGCCAAAUGACAAGUGGGAGAAGCCGAGGGCACCAUAUUGUUUGACAAGAGCUCAAGUAAGGGAGAUCAUGAAGUGGUUCCUGGAUCUGAAAUUCCCAGAUGGAUAUGCAGCCAACUUGAGGCGAGGGGUUAGUUUAGACCAGCUGAAGAUAAAUGGACUAAAAAGCCAUGACUUCCACAUUCUAAUGGAACGUUUGUUACCAGCAAUGCUCCGGGGCUUCAUUGAUGAGGAUGUGUGGAAUGUGUUGGCUGAAUUAAGCUUCUUCUACAGAUCACUUUGUGGGAAAGAAGUUGAUCCUGAGAAGAUGCUUCAAUGGGAAGAGAACAUUGCAGUUUUAUUAUGCAAGCUUGAGAAGAUUUUCCCACCUGGAUUUUUCGAUUCAAUGGAGCAUCUAAUGGUGCACCUCCCAUAUGAAGCAAGAGUUGGAUCAUCUUUGCAUUAUUGUUUGCCAUCUAAAGGAUUUGUACAAAGAGAAGGUUGUAAGCAUGCAUGGUGAGGACUAUGAUUGGAAGCAUUCUUCUGUUGAACCACAAGCCCUUUGUGAAGCUGGUGGUGGGAAGCCGCACGGAAAGUGGCCACUAUUGAAUGGUGUUGUGGAGGGUAAGAGGCUCUUAGGGAGGUGCAGAUCAAACGCUCUUCGUCUUCGUCAAAGCGCCAACGACUAGAACAUGAUAAAAGGAUUGCCCAACAUAACGAGUUAAUGAAAAGACAUGCACAAAGUAUGGUUGAUUGGGGGAAAUCUGUGCAGACUACAGUGGAGAGUAGCCUCGGUGGUGUGCACAAGUUUCUAAUGACCAUCGCAUCCCUUCAAGGAAUUCCAGGGCCUGAGAUUCCAUGCAUUGUUAUACCCCCGCCUCCAGCUUUUCCAACUUUAACCACUUCGUCUCCGAUCUUUUCUCCAGAAAUGCCCUCCACCGGCGAAUCAACAGAUGAUGUUGAAAUUAUAGAUAAUACAUUGCGUGGAGCGGAAGAUGGAAUGUUUGGCGGCUUCUUUGAUGCAAAUGGUAAUGAUGCGAAUGGUGUUGUUUCUGGAACUUUCCCCCCACCUGGUGAUGAUUUACCUACAUUUUGAGAUACCUCUCAUCAUGGUGAAGGAAGUGGUUUGAACUUUUUUUGUUGAUUAACUGGAAGCAAAUGGACAAUUAUCCUUUUGGCCAUGCACUUGGUUAUGGUUGUGAUGUUUUGGAUCAGUGACUUAUAUGAUGCAUGGUGUAUGUAUCCCAGGCUAUUAAUUGGCAAUCCUAGGUAGAUGACAUUUUGUGAGUUCUAGGUACUGAGCUAGAUGCCAUCUUUGGUAAGGAGUGGUACUAUUGUGUGAACUCUUUGAUGUUGCCAUGUAUAAUGAUGGUGGCUGAAAUAUAUAGUUUAUGUGAUUGCUUUCUAA